rnacentral:rRNA from 1 species
GAUGAACGCUAGCUACAGGCUUAACACAUGCAAGUCGAGGGGCAGCAUAUAUCUAGCAAUAGAUAUGAUGGCGACCGGCGCACGGGUGAGUAACACGUAUCCAACCUGCCUCAGACUCUGGGAUAGCCUUUCGAAAGAAAGAUUAAUACCAGAUGGUAUAGGAUUAUCACAUGAUAUUUCUAUUAAAGAAUUUCGGUUUGAGAUGGGGAUGCGUUCCAUUAGAUUGUAGGCGGGGUAACGGCCCACCUAGUCAUCGAUGGAUAGGGGUUCUGGGAGGAAGGUCCCCCACACUGGAACUGAGACACGGUCCAGACUCCUACGGGAGGCAGCAGUGAGGAAUAUUGGUCAAUGGGCGCAAGCCUGAACCAGCCAAGUAGCGUGAAGGAUGACUGCCCUAUGGGUUGUAAACUUCUUUUAUAGGGGAAUAAUUCCAUCCACGUGUGGAUGUUUGUAUGUACCCUGUGAAUAAGCAUCGGCUAACUCCGUGCCAGCCGCCGCGGUAAAAC